AGGCGCCACAGGUACUCCUUUUCUUAUUGUCAGUGUGUUUUACAUCCGACUCGUUGGAUUUGACAAAGGGAUUUUCUUUCUUUUGAUCAAAAGCACAGGAUCUGAGCGCCCUGCCAAUUAUUUAAUAUGGCAGACCCAAAGAAGCGGCUCAGUCAGCUCACCCAGUCUCCCAAGCAGCAGCUUGUUAUAAAAUACAAACAACCCCAUGCAUCAAUCUCCCUAUCUCUUUUCAAAGAUCAGUGAUGACAAAUGGGCCCAGCAGUGUUAACUAAGGACUUAUUCAGGCCUCACAAACCAGGGUGUGAAUCUACAAUGUGUCAGCCUGCCACCCUGUAAUGUUUCUUGUGGGUACUGCUGCAGCGUACUAAAUAUUCCAUGGUGCCCUUUGAUGAGUACGUUACCACACUUCAGAUUGAUGCCCGGGCCCUAACGUCGCCUGUAGACAAGCCCUGAAAGGCGAUGCUUUCAAAUGUAUGUUGCGAAUGCAGCAGUUCUUGAAGAAGGGAAAACAUUUUUAUAUGUAAAGAAAAUCCGCACCAUAUGUCUGGAAGAAAAGGACCAUUUGUAUUGGCAAUUAAAAGGAUGCCCUUAUUCAUUGUUUUUUUAAAGCAAACUAUACCUUGGAGCAUGUGGUAAUUGAAGAGGAAGAUGAUAGGACCAUUGGGUUUAAAUCCCAUUUUAUUAGCUCUUUGCUCUUCUACAAUUGUUACCCUAAUAAUAAUGCUCUGACAUUUGCAUAUCUUGCAUUUAUACUGAGGGAGCCUAGUUCCUAACAAGUUAUAUAUUGUACCUACAGCAAUUUCUUCAUGCAUCAUUGAAAUGCAGCCACCUCUGGGGUGAAACACAGCAAAUCAAGUGGACGGCAAGGCAAUGCAGCAAUUUAGGAUAAGAAGCAAAGACGACUACUGUAUCCUGCUGGACUGCCGGGGGGAAUUGCUACUCCUGCGAAUGCUAAUCCUGUCCCGUUCAUUCUGCACAGCUUCAAAGAGAGAAAGAAGGACAGUCAUGCGAUGAGCUAGAGAUUGCCUUUCCCUGUCAUCACCGAUCACAGCUAUUUACUAUCAUCAAGAAUGCUACAAUUUGCUAGUCGUUUUAUGACUCCAUAAAAUACAUAUUAUGCAAACUGUCAACAAUUUAAGUAGAGAGACACGGUGGGUGAGCAAAUAACUUUUAUCGGACCAUUCUCUCGCCGACAAACGGUUUUACAUCACUCACCUUGUCUCUCUAAUAUCCUGGGAUCAACAUGGGUACCACAACACUGCAUACAGCAAUUUAAAUAGUUAUUUUAAUGUUAGUAACAAUUUUAUGAGUAUGUUGCAUAGGGGAAAAAUUAUUACUGGCCACAAUGGCUUCUCUAAUGAGUGUUCCAGCAUGUCCUACCUGUGGGAGAGCACAUGUGUAACAUGCCCUUCAGUUUCAGGGCCUACUUCUGCUACUAAAUCCACAUGAACAGACGCUUGCACCCACAUGGAGUAGUUCCAGUGGUAUUUAUUAUUUGUAUUAUGGUAGAACCUAGAGUCUCCCACUGAGAGCAGAGACCCAUUGAGUUAGGUGCCGUAUAGACCCACAGUAAGAGACAGCCUCUGCUGUGAAGAGCUCUCAUCUAAAUAAAUGCUAGAAAAUAGUCAAGGGAAAAUAGGGGUAUAGAGAGAUGACCCUGAUCUCCCUGAUUCCCCAAGAUGACCCUGCAGGUCAGUGGAAGAGCCAGGAAUAGAACCUGGUGUGCCCGGGUCCCCUUGUCUCCAAAUUAUCCCCAAAGUGUUUCACAAAGUCAACCGUUCGUCCUCUCACCAGCAAAAGCUGGUCCAAUACAAGAUAUUGCCUCUCCCACCUUGUCUCCUUCAAACUGGAACAGAAGUGGGUGGGGAGAAAAGAUGAGGCUGAGCGUUGACGACAUGAAGAAAUACAGGCAGGCGGGUCCAGAUGCCAAGGGCUGCAGAAGAGGUGGCUCAUGAAGUAAGAGUGGCAAGCAAGAAUAAGAGAGGAUGGUGCAAGAUGAGUAGAGCAAGCUGGCAAGGGUGCAGAGAGAGAGAUUAAGAGCCUCAUCCAAAGUCUGAAGAAGUCCAUGGGAAUCUGUUCAUUGAUUUCAAUGGUCUGUAGAUCAGGCUCUAAGCCCAUGAGAUUUGAUGCAGCAACACCCUGGAACAUUUGAAAACCUGGGAAGAGACUUCUGAAUGGGACCCUGACAUGAAUAGGAAGUUGUUUGAGGUUUGCAUGAUGUGGUCCCAUGUCUCAGUGGCUUGUGUCCCCAUCACGCUAUUGCCGCACUCACACCACUGGGAGAAAUGUUGUGUGAUGUGCCUAUGGAGGGUUACUUUAUUUCUAUCCUGUUCUAUACACAGUCUUAUCCACUCUCAUCACCAUAGUAUCUGAGUUCCUUCCAGCAGCGCAUUAAGAAACGUGGCUAUCUCUCUGCCAUGUGUUUGUUUUUUGCAUCCUCUCCCCAGAGUGAGAUGUGUGUGCAGUGAAGUGUCUUGUUUUGGUAGGUGGUUUGUUGUUGUUAUUACAUAGAUGUGGUGCUCUGUGUUUGGUAGAGAAGGCAAGGUCAAAGAGGUGUGCCUUGCACAUGGAACAGAAAGCCGUGAAGUCUGUGAUGGUCCUUAAAGGGUAAGAACUUGGCCAUGUUCCUCUAGUUGCACAUGUGACAUUGGAACAUCCAGUCUGGGCCUCUGCAUCAGGAGAACGCAGCAACAAUUGUAUUGUAUUUCCCGGUACUGAGACUUGGUCUCCAGGAUGAUUUCCCAGUGAUGGGGUUGGGAUGGAAGAAGAGCAGCAACCAUUGCUAUGAUCACUGCAUUAAAGAAACCCCCAGAUUCUGGAACCCUCCCCAUAAAAGGCCAGCAGACUUGUUCAUGAUGCUGAUCAUUCCUUAGAAGAAAUCACUCCUAAUCAAUGGGCUAUCUACCAGAAGAGGAAGCUGGUGCAUAA